rnacentral:rRNA from 1 species
UACGUAGGGGGCGAGCGUUGUCCGGAUUCAUUGGGCGUAAAGCGCGCGUAGGCGGCUCGACAAGUCGGCCGUGAAAUCUCCAGGCUCAACUUGGAGGGGUCGGGCGAGACUGUCGGGCUCGAGGUGGGCAGAGGGCAGCGGAAUUCCGGGUGUAGUGGUGGAAUGCGUAGAGAUCCGGAGGAACACCAGUGGCGAAGGCGGCUGCCUGGGCCUGGCCUGACGCUGAGGCGCGAAAGCGUGGGGAGCGAUCCGG